rnacentral:SRP_RNA from 1 species
GCCGGGCGCAGUGGCGCACGCCUGUAGUCCCAGCUACUCGGGAGUCUGAGACAGGAGGAUCGAUUGAGUCCAGGAGUUCUGGGCUGUAGUGCGCUAUGCCGAUCCGGUGUCCGCACUAAGUUCGGCAUCAAUAUGGUGACCUCCCGGGAGCGGGGGACCACCAGGUUGCCUAAGGAGGGGUGAACCGGCCCAGGUCGGAAAAGACAAAGAAUAAAAUUACAUUUCGUUGUUGUUUAAAGUAUGUCAAUAAAGAAGAAAAUAAAUAACCAAUAUACAGAAUGAGUAGGAAAAUAUUUUCUU